UAACGGUAGCUAAUACCGCAUAACGUCGCAAGACCAAAGAGGGGGACCUUCGGGCCUCUUGCCAUCGGAUGUGCCCAGAUGGGAUUAGCUAGUAGGUGGGGUAACGGCUCACCUAGGCGACGAUCCCUAGCUGGUCUGAGAGGAUGACCAGCCACACUGGAACUGAGACACGGUCCAGACUCCUACGGGAGGCAGCAGUGGGGAAUAUUGCACAAUGGGCGCAAGCCUGAUGCAGCCAUGCCGCGUGUAUGAAGAAGGCCUUCGGGUUGUAAAGUACUUUCAGCGGGGAGGAAGGCGAUAAGGUUAAUAACCUUGUCGAUUGACGUUACCCGCAGAAGAAGCACCGGCUAACUCCGUGCCAGCAGCCGCGGUAAUACGGAGGGUGCAAGCGUUAAUCGGAAUUACUGGGCGUAAAGCGCACGCAGGCGGUCUGUCAAGUCGGAUGUGAAAUCCCCGGGCUCAACCUG
rnacentral:rRNA from 1 species